rnacentral:rRNA from 1 species
AGCAGCCGCGGUAAUUCCAGCUCCAAUAGCGUAUAUUAAAGUUGUUGCAGUUAAAAAGCUCGUAGUUGAACCUCGGGAUCAAUUGAUCGGUCAUGCCAUUGGUAUGUACUGGUCAUAUUGGUUCUCACCUUCUAAGGAACCUUAAUGUCAUUAAUUUGAUGUUUUGGGGAAUUAGGACUGUUACCUUGAAAAAUUAGAGUGUUUAAAGCAGGCUAACGCUUGAAUACAUUAGCAUGGAAUAAUGAAAUAGGACAUCGCAUUCUAUUUUGUUGGUUUCUAGGAUCGAUGUAAUGAUUAAUAGGGAUAGUUGGGGGCAUUAGUAUUCAAUUGUCAGAGGUGAAAUUCUUGGAUUUAUUGAAGACUAACUACUGCGAAAGCAUUUGCCAAGGAUGUUUUCAUUAAUCAAGAACGAAAGUUAGGGGAUCGAAGACGAUCAGAUACCGUCGUAGU